CAGCUAGUUGGCGGGGUAAUGGCCCACCAAGGCGACGACGGGUAGCUGGUCUGAGAGGAUGGCCAGCCACAUUGGGACUGAGAGACGGCCCAGACUCCUACGGGAGGCAGCAGUGGGGAAUCUUGCGCAAUGGCCGAAAGGCUGACGCAGCGACGCCGCGUGUGGGAGGACGCCUUUCGGGGUGUAAACCACUGUUGCCCGGGACGAACAUCCCUUUUCGAGGGGACUGACGGUACCGGGUGAGGAAGCACCGGCUAACUCCGUGCCAGCAGCCGCGGUAAUACGGAGGGUGCGAGCGUUGUCCGGAAUCAUUGGGCGUAAAGGGCGCGUAGGUGGCGGGACAAGCGUGCGGUGAAAGCCUGGGGCUCAACCCCGGGUCGGCCGUGCGAACUGUUUUGCUUGAGCACUGUAGAGGCAGGCGGAAUUCCGGGUGUAGCGGUGGAAUGCGUAGAGAUCCGGAAGAACACCGGUGGCGAAGGCGGCCUGCUGGGCAGUAGCUGACACUGAGGCGCGACAGCGUGGGGAGCAAACAGGAUUAGAUACCCUGGUAGUCCA
rnacentral:rRNA from 1 species